UUUCAAUUAACUAAAUCGGUAUCUUAGUCUAACAGUAUUAAGUUUAGAAUGCCUGGUAGAAUAAUAUUGUGACAUAUGGUAUAAAUGAUGUCAUGGUGAUGUCAUAAUUUAAAAAAAUUAAAAAAAAAUUCUUUUCACUUUUCUCCUCCCCAUUUCUUUUGAGGCUCUUUUUUCUUUUCCUUCCUUCUUUCUUCUUCCUCCCUCAACCCAAGUUGCUGCCUCC
rnacentral:lncRNA from 1 species